GAUGAACGCUGGCGGCGUGCCUAAUACAUGCAAGUCGAGCGAACAGACGAGGAGCUUGCUCCUCUGACGUUAGCGGCGGACGGGUGAGUAACACGUGGAUAACCUACCUAUAAGACUGGGAUAACUUCGGGAAACCGGAGCUAAUACCGGAUAAUAUAUUGAACUGCAUGGUUCAAUAGUGGAAGACGGUUUUGCUGUCACUUAUAGAUGGAUCCGCGCCGCAUUAGCUAGUUGGUAAGGUAACGGCUUACCAAGGCAACGAUGCGUAGCCGACCUGAGAGGGUGAUCGGCCACACUGGAACUGAGACACGGUCCAGACUCCUACGGGAGGCAGCAGUAGGGAAUCUUCCGCAAUGGGCGAAAGCCUGACGGAGCAACGCCGCGUGAGUGAUGAAGGUCUUCGGAUCGUAAAACUCUGUUAUUAGGGAAGAACAAAUGUGUAAGUAACUAUGCACGUCUUGACGGUACCUAAUCAGAAAGCCACGGCUAACUACGUG
rnacentral:rRNA from 1 species